rnacentral:rRNA from 1 species
GGCGGUAGGCUUAACACAUGCAAGUCGUGCGAGAAAGUAUCUUCGGAUAUGAGUAGAGCGGCGGACGGGUGAGUAACGCGUAGGAAUCUACCUAGUAGAAGGGGAUAGCCCGGGGAAACCCGGAUUAAUACCGUAUACCUCCUUCGGGAGAAAGAAGGCCUCUCUUUGAAGCUUUCGCUACUAGAUGAGCCUGCGUAAGAUUAGCUUGUUGGUGAGGUAAAGGCUCACCAAGGCUACGAUCUUUAGCUGGUCUGAGAGGACGAUCAGCCACAUUGGGACUGAGACACGGCCCAGACUCCUACGGGAGGCAGCAGUGGGGAAUAUUGGACAAUGGGCGCAAGCCUGAUCCAGCCAUACCGCGUGUGUGAAGAAGGCCUUCGGGUUGUAAAGCACUUUAAGCAGGGAGAAAAAGUUAUAAGUUAAUACCUUAUAACCCUGAUGUUACUUGCAGAAUAAGCACCGGCUAAUUCCGUGCCAGCAGCCGCGGUAAUACGGAAGGUGCAAGCGUUAAUCGGAAUUACUGGGCGUAAAGCGCGCGUAGGUGGUUUGUUAAGUUGGAUGUGAAAGCCCUGGGCUCAACCUAGGAACUGCAUCCAAAACUAACUCACUAGAGUACGAUAGAGGGAGGUAGAAUUCAUAGUGUAGCGGUGGAAUGCGUAGAUAUUAUGAAGAAUACCAGUGGCGAAGGCGGCCUCCUGGAUCUGUACUGACACUGAGGUGCGAAAGCGUGGGUAGCGAACAGGAUUAGAUACCCUGGUAGUCCACGCCGUAAACGAUGACAACUAGCUGUUGGGAGACUAUGUCUUUCAGUGGCGCAGCUAACGCUUUAAGUUG